UAAAGCACCACAUUAAUCCUCUCUCGAGCAAGAGCGUUGUUUUUUGUCCCAGACUGCGGCAAUCCUGCAUGCCAUGAGCACUGCUUUUGCCUCUGCAGCACUUUUAUGUUGACAAACCCAAGAGCAGGUGACCCUAGGGAGGCAGAUGGCGUCACAUGCAAGGGAAUCCUUCCAGAAGCCUUCAAGCAUAGCUCUGCGAGCAAAGGCCAUGCAGGUAAAGUGAUAUCCAUCUGGAACCUAUAGUGAGUUGAACAAGGCGGGCAAACUGGACGCUGCGCACAAAGCAUUUAUUUGGAGGAGGACAAGGGAGGUUGCUCAAGCUACAGACUACUCAGACUAAAGCAGAAGGACCCUCUCCACUUCCAGGAAGCUUUUCAGCUCAAGCUGAAUGAACCAGGGAAUCCAGCAGGGACUGGAACUCAGGAGAAAGCUCCUCAAGCAACUUCACGGGUCAGCCGGUGAGGAAGGGUGUUUUCUUCAUGAAAAGAGGAAGCUUCUCCAUCAGCUGAAAGGAAACACAUAGGAGUCAGACGCAAUGGCAGGGCAUGGUAGGACGCCACGUCCUUCUGCAGCUGGCACUUGCGGGCUAGCAGAUGCGCGCGCUCCUGUUGCUGCUGCUCCGCCUCCGCGCGAAUCUCGCUGAGCUCCGCCUCCAGCCGGCCGACCACAGCGCCCAGGUUCUGGAGCUCCAUGUCAUGCCAGUGCUUGGCAUCGUGCAAGGUGUUCUCCAGGCCUCGUUUCUGCAAAAGAGCGAACCUGGUCCAAACUCGAGGACGACAGGCCGGGCCCUUGAAGAGAGAGCUAUGGACCUGCCACUGAACGUCUUACUGGAAAUAUGUACUCAGACCUCACAUCAAGGUGUCCAAAAUGAAGCCACUGGCUGCCUCCUGAACCUGCUGGCUCCUCCUAGCCUAAGCUUCAACUGGUGAACCCAUGUGAGCUAGAAACUGGGGAAAGAUGUGUUCCUGCUUUCCUUCGUUCUCUUCUUCCAAAUGCAACCAUCACGGCUUCCUGUAUAUUAUGAGUCCUGCUUCUUGUACCUCUUGAGAAGUUUUCACAUUAUGCAGCCACCACGGCCUGGGAUUGGAAGCUUGUCAUCUCUCACCUGUGGUACCCUCAGUGACCUCUUAGCUCAUCUCCCCACCUCUAGUUCCUCCUCUUCCUGAGUUCCACACACAAAUAGCCACAGUGCUCUGUCGAAAGCCUAAACCUGGGCCUGUAUCUCCUCUGCUUAAACUCCAUUGAUGGCUCCCCAGGACCCCUAAUACGGCACACACAGCUGGCCCAGUAUCUUUCUAUCUUUAUCCCCAUCCUACGGCAGCAUCAACACUUCCAGUCUUGGAGUUUAUUUGGUCUGUGUUGUUUCCUCCACCUGCACCAUGCUCCUCCAUUCCUUCCAGCAUCCUCACCUUACUCACUCCUACUCAUCCCCAAGUCCAAGCUCAGAGGUAGCCUGCCCCAGGAAGCCGUCUUUGAAACUCCUCUGCCGCUACCAUCACCAAGCUGGGUUAGGAGACCCUCUGUAUUUCCAUGGCUCCCCAAGCUCAUGCGUGCUCUUAAACUUAUCACAGUGGGCUAAGCUUGCUUAUGGGCACGUCUCUUCCACCAGAUGGUGAGACUUGGAAGGAACCAAGUCUCUGUAGUCCCAGCACACAAGUCAGGGCCUGGCACAGAAUAGGUUCUUGGUAUGUGUAGGUUGCCCUGGAUGGUAGCACUUGUAUUAUGGUUACACUUAUUGCAAUACCUGUGUCUCCCCAUUAGACUGGAAACUUCUUUCUUCUCAUCUUCCC